rnacentral:rRNA from 1 species
UACGAAGGGGGCUAGCGUUGUUCGGAAUUACUGGGCGUAAAGCGCACGUAGGCGGACUAUUAAGUCGGGGGUGAAAUCCCGGGGCUCAACCCCGGAACUGCCUUUGAUACUGGUAGUCUCGAGUCCGGAAGAGGUGAGUGGAAUUCCGAGUGUAGAGGUGAAAUUCGUAGAUAUUCGGAGGAACACCAGUGGCGAAGGCGGCUCACUGGUCCGGUACUGACGCUGAGGUGCGAAAGCGUGGGGAGCAAACAGG